rnacentral:rRNA from 1 species
UACGAAGGGGACUAGCGUUGUUCGGAAUCACUGGGCGUAAAGCGCACGUAGGCGGAUAUGUCAGUCAGGGGUGAAAUCCCGGGGCUCAACCUCGGAACUGCCUUUGAUACAGCAUAUCUUGAGUCCGAUAGAGGUGGGUGGAAUUCCUAGUGUAGAGGUGAAAUUCGUAGAUAUUAGGAAGAACACCGGUGGCGAAGGCGGGUCUCUGGGCCGAUAUUGACGCUGAGGAGCGAAAGCGUGGGGAGCAAACAGG